rnacentral:rRNA from 1 species
AUACGGAGGAUCCGAGCGUUAUCCGGAUUUAUUGGGUUUAAAGGGUGCGCAGGCGGCCAUUUAAGUCAGCGGUUAAAUCGUGGGGCUCAACCCCAUUCUGCCGUUGAUACUGGGUGGCUUGAUUGCGGUCGAGGUUGGCGGAAUUCGUUGUGUAGCGGUGAAAUGCAAAGAUAUGACGAAGAACACCGAUUGCGUAGGCAUCUGACCAGACCGCAAAUGACGCUCAGGCACGAAAGUGCGGGGAUCGAACAGGAUUAGAUACCCUGGUAGUCCGCGCAGUAAACGAUGAAUACUUGUUUUCGGCGAUAUAAUGUCGGAGGCAAAGCGAAAGCGAUAAGUAUUCCACCUGGGGAGUACGCCGGCAACGGUGAAACUCAAAUGAAUUGACGGGG